rfam:Triticum aestivum genome assembly, contig: Triticum_aestivum_CS42_TGACv1_scaffold_161940_2DL
UUAGUACUCUCUCCGUUCAAAAAUACUUAUCAUCAAAAUGGAUAAAAAGAGAUGUAUCUAGAACUAAAAUACAUCUAGAUACAUCCCCUUUAUCCAUUUUGAUCACAAGUAUUUUCGGACACAGGAGGUAGCAU